UCAGAUUGAACGCUGGCGGCAGGCUUAAUACAUGCAAGUCGAACGGUAGCAGCAGGAAGGCUUGCCUUCUGGCUGACGAGUGGCGGACGGGUGAGUAAGUAACCUGGGAAACUGCCGUACAAGAGGGGGACAACACCUGGAAACGGGUGCUAAUACCGCAUAAGCCCUGAGGGGAAAAGGAUGGGAAACCAUGCGCUUGUAGAUGUGCCCAGGAGGGAUUAGCUAGUUGGGGAGGCAAAGGCUCACCAAGGCGACGAUCUCUAGCUGGUCUGAGAGGAUGAUCAGCCACAUUGGGACUGAGACACGGCCCAAACUCCUACGGGAGGCAGCAGUAGGGAAUAUUGCACAAUGGGGGAAACCCUGAUGCAGCCAUGCCGCGUGUGUGAAGAAGGCCUUCGGGUUGUAAAGCACUUUCAGCGGGGAGGAAGGCGCGAGCUCCAACAGGGCCUGGCGUCAGACGUUACCCGCAGAAGAAGCGCCGGCUAACUCCGUGCCAGCCGCCGC
rnacentral:rRNA from 1 species